GACGAACGCUGGCGGCGUGCUUAGCACAUGCAAGUCGAACGGAAAGGCCUUUUCGGAGGUACUCGAGUGGCGAACGGGUGAGUAACACGUGGGUGAUCUGCCCUGCACUCUGGGAUAAGCCUGGGAAACUGGGUCUAAUACCGGAUAGGACCGCACUUUAGUGUGUGUGGUGGAAAGUUUUUUCGGUGUAGGAUGAGCCCGCGGCCUAUCAGCUUGUUGGUGGGGUAAUGGCCUACCAAGGCGGCGACGGGUAGCCGGACUGAGAGGUUGGUCGGCCACAUUGGGACUGAGAUACGGCCCAGACUCCUACGGGAGGCAGCAGUGGGGAAUAUUGCACAAUGGGCGCAAGCCUGAUGCAGCGACGCCGCGUGGGGGAUGACGGCCUUCGGGUUGUAAACUCCUUUCGCCAGGGACGAAGCGUUUUGUGACGGUACCUGGAGAAGAAGCACCGGCUAACUACGUG
rnacentral:rRNA from 1 species